rnacentral:rRNA from 1 species
UGAAACCGUCUAGAGGCAAACGGAGAGGACCGUAUGGUCCGCCCGUCGGAUUCAGUCCGCGAGCUCGGGCGGGGCGUCGGCGGCGCAUCCCUCGUGGGAGCGCUCCGGCGUCCCGACGUCCGGGCCGCGGCCGUACUUUCGGCGGGCGGAGCGCCACGACCGGUUCGCGGGCGGCGAGAAACCGCCGGGCAAGGUGACCUUCGCCUCGGCGCAGGAACAUAUAGGCCCGGCGCGCGGAGGCCCGUCGGCGGACCGAGGAAGACCGUCGCGGAGCGGCGUCGACCGCCCGUCGUGCUCCGGUGUUCGACUCGGGGGGACUGGUUCCAGUGCCCUCGGACCGCGCCGGUGCAUCGGCGGGACGGCCCGGCGUCGCGCCUGGGGUCGGUGGCGAAACGGCCGGCAACCUGUCCGACCCGUCUUGAAACACGGACCAAGGAGUCUAACAUGUGCGCGAGUCGUUGGGCGCUACGAAACCCGAAGGCGCAAUGAAAGUGAAGGCCCGGUCUCGUGCCGGCCUGGGUGGGAUCCGGGCGGCCACGGCCGUCCGGCGCACCACCGGCCCGUCUCGUUCGCGACGUCGAUGAGGCGGAGCAAGAGCGUACACGUUGGGACCC